CAGUAGUAUCAAAUACAAUUUCAGGGGAGAAUAUAAUAAUGGAUUCAUCAGCAAGUUGUGAGAUCGCUUUCCCAGAAAAAAGAAAUCAGGAGUUAAAUAUGUCUGAUGAAGAAAAUGAAGAUUUCACGAUACAUUCUUGCACAGCUAAAUCACCAGAAACUGACAAUUUGAUUGAUCAAGCUCAGC
rnacentral:lncRNA from 1 species